AACGCACAUUGCGCCCGCCAGUAUUCUGGCGGGCAUGCCUGUCCGAGCGUCAUUUCAACCCUCGAGCCCCCCCGGGGGCGCGGUGUUGGGGGACGGCCCGCCCGCCCGCGGCCGCCCCCGAAAUGCAGUGGCGACCCCGCCGCAGCCUCCCCUGCGUAGUAGCUAUACACUGGAAACCUCGCACCGGAGCGCGGCGCGGCUCUGCCGUAAAAGCCCCAACUUUCCGAAAGGUUGACCUCGGAUCAGGUAGGAAUACCCGCUGAACUUAA
rnacentral:misc_RNA from 1 species